GCUUGCGGGUGCUAUACAUGCAAGUCGAGCGGACCGACGGGAGCUUGCUCCCUUAGGUCAGCGGCGGACGGGUGAGUAACACGUGGGUAACCUGCCUGUAAGACUGGGAUAACUCCGGGAAACCGGGGCUAAUACCGGAUGCUUGAUUGAACCGCAUGGUUCAAUCAUAAAAGGUGGCUUUUAGCUACCACUUACAGAUGGACCCGCGGCGCAUUAGCUAGUUGGUGAGGUAACGGCUCACCAAGGCGACGAUGCGUAGCCGACCUGAGAGGGUGAUCGGCCACACUGGGACUGAGACACGGCCCAGACUCCUACGGGAGGCAGCAGUAGGGAAUCUUCCGCAAUGGACGAAAGUCUGACGGAGCAACGCCGCGUGAGUGAUGAAGGUUUUCGGAUCGUAAAACUCUGUUGUUAGGGAAGAACAAGUACCGUUCGAAUAGGGCGGCACCUUGACGGUACCUAACCAGAAAGCCACGGCUAACUACGUGCCAGCAGCCGCGGUAAUACGUAGGUGGCAAGCGUUGUCCGGAAUUAUUGGGCGUAAAGCGCGCGCAGGCGGUUUCUUAAGUCUGAUGUGAAAGCCCCCGGCUCAACCGGGGAGGGUCAUUGGAAACUGGGGAACUUGAGUGCAGAAGAGGAGAGUGGAAUUCCACGUGUAGCGGUGAAAUGCGUAGAGAUGUGGAGGAACACCAGUGGCGAAGGCGACUCUCUGGUCUGUAACUGACGCUGAGGCGCGAAAGCGUGGGGAGCGAACAGGAUUAGAUACCCUGGUAGUCCACGCCGUAUACGAUGAGUGCUAAGUGUUAGAGGGUUUCCGCCCUUUAGUGCUGCAGCAAACGCAUUAAGCACUCCGCCUGGGGGAGUACGGUCGCAAGACUGAAACUCAAAGGAAUUGACGGGGGCCCGCACAAGCCGUGGAGCAUGUGGAUUAAUUCGAAGCAACGCGAGUACCUUACCAGGUCUUGACAUCCUCUGACACCCUAGAGAUAGGGCUUCCCUUCGGGGGGCAGAGUGACAGGUGGUGCAUGGUGUCGUCAGCUCGUGUCGUUGAGAUGUUGGGUUUAAGUUCAGCGAC
rnacentral:rRNA from 1 species